rnacentral:rRNA from 1 species
GCAAGUCGAACGGUAAGUCCCUGCUUGCAGGGAACACGAGUGGCGCACGGGUGUGUAACGCGUAUGCAACCUACCUUUAACAGAGGAAUAGCCCCGAGAAAUCGGGCUUAAUACUUCAUAACAAUAAGUUUUGGCAUCAUUACUUAUUUAAAGCUCCGGCGGUUAAAGAUGUGCAUGCGUAACAUUAGAUAGUUGGUGAGGUAACGGCUCACCAAGUCUACGAUGUUUAGGGGUUCUGAGAGGAUUAUC